GAAAAAGUGCAGCAACCGACUUGGCUUAUUGUUUUGGAAAUUGCAACCGGUGCUCUCCUUCUUGUUUUUGUGAUCACUGGUGCUGUUACUGCCUCCAGAAGCUUCAAUCUAAAGCCUUCUAUAAGAAUAUCAUCAUGGAGUAGAUCAAAAAGUUGGAGCAACGAGAUAACAGUACUGAUUGAUUCUGAUAUGCUGAAAAGUUUGCCAAAGUUGAGUCACUAGGAACUUGAAGUAGUGUAUUAGGAUUUUAGCAACAUAAUUGGCUCAACUCUGGAGACUAUAGUCUACAAAGAAACAAUGAAGGAUGGACCUGAGGUUUCUGUCAUAUCAUUAUGCGCCUUUGAAGGUCAUUGGACUAGCCAGCAUGAGCUCUUUUACCAAAACAAGGUUAUUGAUCUGGCAAGGUUGAAUCAUGAGAACAUAGCAAAGUUUCUGGGCUAUUGCAGAGAGAGUGACCCAUUCUCGAGGAUGUUAAUCUUUGAAUGAAUGAAAAUAGCCAUCGACAUCGCCCAAGGUUUAAGGUAUUUGUACACCGAGUCGCAGCCUCCUUUCGCUAUAUCUGAGCUGAACUCCAAUUCAGUAUACGUUACAGAAGAUUUUAUAUACAAACUGAACUUUGAAAUCCACUUGACAAUUGCUCAUGACUUGAUAGAAAUCAUUCUUAUGAGCAGGCUGGCGACGUCGUCUAUUGAAGCCCCACCGGCGACACGACGGGACAGCUCCGACUUGUACGUGGGUGUGGGAAUGCAGAUCCGCGUUGCCAGCUUACACAAGGCCAUGCUCAACGCGCCGACGCAGGGUUUAUCGCCCGUCUUUGUCAGAUAA
rnacentral:rRNA from 1 species